AUAAGUUUUACUCUCAAUUUAAAUAAUAUAUACAUAAAAAUAGUUCACUGCAAAUGCAAUACUUACAGCUCCCUAAAUUUAGUUAUCUUCUCAAUAUCACAAUUCACAAACAGCCUAGAAACAUUUCUGCUCGUGCAUACACGCACAUCACCUACAAUAUAUAUUUUAAUACAUGAAUUUAAUAAGACAAAUAAAAUAAGGAAUAAACUGAUAUAAGAUUUAACCUUUACCCUUGUAAAGUGUCGGCCUGCAAAAUUGUAUUAUAACAAUUGGCAGCAUGUUUUGUUCAUUCAUGGCUUGCAUUCUGAAUGAGUCGACAUAUUCCUCCCAAAGAGUACAAUACAUUUUAUUGUGACUGUAUAUGUAAAAAACAAUUCAGAUUCCAAAUAAAGAACUAAACAGAAAAUAAAGAAUUUUAAACUUACCUGGAAUCCUCAAGCACAAGCUCUAUGAGCUUCGCAUUGUUCUGAUCUUUAAUACACCCCUUUCCCACCAACACUCCAAUAAUAUCUACAGUUUCAUAUAUCUCAAUAUUAAAAAAGUAUUUAAUAAGCAUAUAUAUAUAUAACACAUCAAAUAAGAUGUAAAUAACUAUUUACCAAACAACACUUCCUCAUUAGCAUCUUCA
rnacentral:lncRNA from 1 species